CGAAGCUUUAGAUUCAAUUUUUAAUUGAGUGGUAGGAGAGCGUUCUAUUCAGCGUAGAAGAUGUACCGGUAAGGAGCGUUGGAGCGGAUAGAAGUGAGCAUGCAGGCAUGAGUAGCGAUAAUUGAGGUGAGAAUCCUCAACGCCGAAAACCCAAGGUUUCCUACGCGAUGCUCGUCAUCGUAGGGUUAGUCGGGACCUAAGUCGAGUCCGAAAGGGGUAGACGAUGGCAAAUUGAUUAAUAUUUCAAUACCAACAUAUAAGCGCGAUGUGGGGACGCAUAGAGUUAAUCGAGGUCACGGAUGGAAGUGUGGCUCGAAGGACGUAGGUUGUUAAGUAGGCAAAUCCGCUUAACGUUAGACCGAGAUCUUACAGGCUCUUGACACUCUUCGGAGGAGAUGGAGAAUCGAUGAUACUGUCGUGCCAAGAAAAGCCACUAAGUUUAUUAUAUGUUGCCCGUACCGUAAACCGACACAGGUGGGUGGGAUGAGUAUUCUAAGGCGCGUGGAAGAACCCUGGUUAAGGAACUCUGCAAACUAGCACCGUAUCUUCGGUAUAAGGUGUGCCUACUUUUGUAUAUGAACUUGCUUCAAAAAGCGAAAGAGGUUGCAACAAAGAGUCCCUCCCGACUGUUUACCAAAAACACAGCACUUUGCUAACACGUAAGUGGAUGUAUAAGGUGUGACGCCUGCCCGGUGCUCGAAGGUUAACUGAUGAUGUCAGCGCAAGCGAAGCAUUUGAUUGAAGCCCGAGUAAACGGCGGCCGUAACUAUAA
rnacentral:rRNA from 1 species